rnacentral:misc_RNA from 1 species
GAUGAAGAACGCAGCGAAAUGUGAUAAGUAAUGUGAAUUGCAGAAUUCAGUGAAUCAUCGAAUCUUUGAACGCACAUUGCGCCCGCCAGUAUUCUGGCGGGCAUGCCUGUCCGAGCGUCAUUUCAACCCUCGCGCCCAUCUGGGCUGCGGUGUUGGGGACCGGCCUGCCCCCCCGGGGCGCGCCGCCCCCCAAAUUCAGUGGCGGUCUCGCUGCAGCCUCCCUUGCGUAGUAGCACACCUCGCACCGGAGCGCAGCGCGGCCACGCCGUAAAACCCCCGACCCCCAUGAGUUUGACCUCGGAUCAGGUAGGAAUACCCGCUGAACUUAAGCAUAUCAAUAAGCGGAGGA